rnacentral:rRNA from 2 species
UAAAGCUACAAAGAGCUAAUGGGGAAUGCCUUGGUACUGACAGCCGACGAAGGACGUGUAAAGCUGCGAUAAGCCACGGGGAACUGCUAAAAGGUCUUGAUCCGUGGAAAUCCGAAUGGGGAAACCCUCCAGAGUUAAAACUUUGGAACCCGUAACUGAAUACAUAGGUUGCGCGGAGGAAAGCCUGUGAACUGAAACAUCUUAGUAACAGGACGAAGAGAAAAUAAACCAAUGAUUCCGAGAGUAGCGGCGAGCGAAAUUGGAAGAGCCUAAAUUGUGUGUACGUGAUAGCCUGCAAGCGUUGUGCACAUGAGGUUGUGGGACUUGCAUCAUAUUUUGCAGAAUAUGGAUUGAGUUAGAAAAUUAUUUAUUAGUUAAAGUCAACUGGGAAGUUGCGCCAUAGAGAGUGAUAGCCUCGUAAACGACAAUAAAUAAUCUCAAGUAAGUAUCCCGAGUAAGGCGGGGCACGUGAAACCCUGUCUGAAUCCACCGGGACCAUCCGGUAAGGCUAAAUACUAGUCAGUGACCGAUAGUGAACGAGUACAGUGAUGGAAAGGCGAAAAGAACAGUGAGAAGCUGAGUGAAAUAGACCCUGAAACCGUUAGCUUACAACCAGUCAGAGCACAAUUAAUUGUGUGAUGGCGUGCCUGUUGAAGAAUGAGCCGGCGAGUUAUUUUUUGUUGCGAGGUUAAGGAGAUCAUAUCCGGAGCCACAGGGAAACCGAGUCUGAAUAGGGCGUUAAGUAACAGGAAAUAGACCCGAACCUUGGUGAUCUAACCUUGACCAGGAUGAAGCGUGGGUAACACUACGUGGAGGUCCGAACCAACCGAUGUUGAAAAAUCGGUGGAUGAGUUGAGGUUAGGGGUGAAAUGCCAAUCGAACCAAGAGCUAGCUGGUUCUCCCCGAAAUGCGUUUAGGCACAGCGUUGGAUUUAUCUUGCAGGAGGUAGAGCACUGGUUUUGUGCGGGCGUCGAAAUGAUGUACCAAACAAUGUCAAACUCCGAAUACCUGUAAUGUCAUUAUCCAGCAGUGAGGCUAUGAGUGAUAAGAUCCAUGGCCAAGAGGGAAACAGCCCAGAACGCCAGUUAAGGUCCCUAAUAUAUGCUAAGUGGUUAAGGAGGUAGAGUUACUGAGACAACCAGGAGGUUGGCUUAGAAGCAGCCAUCCCUUGAAAGAGUGCGUAAUAGCUCACUGGUCAAGUGACUCCGCGCCGAAAAUACACCGGGACUAAAGCAUAUAACCGAAGCUGCGUCAUAUAGUUUACUAUAUGGGUAGGGGAGCGUACUGUAGUAAGACGAAGCUAGAGUGAAAACACUAGUGGAUGAGGCAGUAGUGAGAAUGUCGGCAUAAGUAGCGAAAACAUUGGUGAGAAUCCAAUGCACCGAAAACCUAAGGUUUCCCACGGCAGGCUCGUCCGCGUGGGGUUAGUCGGAUCCUAAGCUCAGGCCAAACGGCGUAGGCGAUGGACAAUAGGUUGAUAUUCCUAUACUAUCUGAUAAUCGUUAUCAGAAGCGGAGGGACGCAAGAGGAUAAGCACGCAGUCGAAUGGAAGAGACUGUAUAAGCGUGUAGCUAGGUUUGACAGGAAAAUCCGUCAAAUCGUUAAUGUGAGGCGUGAUGUGGAGAGUCUACGGACUCGAAGGUGUUGACUCCAAAUUGCCAAGAAAAUCUUCGCUCUCGAGAUUAUUGGGUAUCCGUACCGUAAACCGCCACAGGUAGGUUGGUAGAAAAUACUAAGGUGCGCGAGACAACUCUCGCUAAGGAACUCGGCAAAAUCACCUCGUAACUUCGGGAGAAGAGGUACCCUGGUAGCGUGAAGCGAUUUACUCGUGAAGCGUGAUAGGGUCGCAGUGAAUAGGCCCAAGCGACUGUUUACCAAAAACACAGGUCUCUGCUAAGUCGAUCAAGACGAUGUAUAGGGGCUGACGCCUGCCCGGUGUCGGAAGGUUACGCGGAAAUGUUAGAAGCAAUUCAAAGCAUCGAAGCUAAGCCCCGAUGAACGGCGGCCGUAACUAUAACGGUCCUAAGGUAGCGAAAUUCCUUGUCAGGUA